rnacentral:rRNA from 1 species
GAUGAACGCUGGCGGCGUGCCUAAUACAUGCAAGUCGAGCGAACAGACGAGGAGCUUGCUCCUCUGACGUUAGCGGCGGACGGGUGAGUAACACGUGGAUAACCUACCUAUAAGACUGGGAUAACAUCGGGAAACCGGAGCUAAUACCGGAUAAUAUAUUGAACCGCAUGGUUCAAUAGUGAAAGACGGUUUUGCUGUCACUUAUAGAUGGAUCCGCGCCGCAUUAGCUAGUUGGUAAGGUAACGGCUUACCAAGGCGACGAUGCGUAGCCGACCUGAGAGGGUGAUCGGCCACACUGGAACUGAGACACGGUCCAGACUCCUACGGGAGGCAGCAGUAGGGAAUCUUCCGCAAUGGGCGAAAGCCUGACGGAGCAACGCCGCGUGAGUGAUGAAGGUCUUCGGAUCGUAAAACUCUGUUAUUAGGGAAGAACAAAUGUGUAAGUAACUAUGCACGUCUUGACGGUACCUAAUCAGAAAGCCACGGCUAACUACGUG